GGCCUCUACAAGUGUGACAUCAGCGGUCAUGGAGAGUCUCCAUCCAGCUGGAUCACUGUCACAGAGAGUGAUCCACCUGUAAUCUACUCGGCAGUGAGAACUGAAGACAUCAGUUAUGGACAAAUAACUAUCAGACCAAAGAGGACCAGAGACUUUAAACCAGAGCCAGACGUCAUCUACUCUUCACUGAAGUAGUUCACCAGUCCAACCACUGAUGUCCAGCUGCUGGUCUCUAACUGGUCCAUCCCAGAACCUUACAUCAAUGUGUUCAAAAGAUUUUUUUUCUUCAUGUUAUAUGUAUUUUCCAUCACUUAAUUAGACUUUACCUAUAUUGACUGUACCUUUAAAAGUUUAGCUUUUUUCAACAUAAACAGUCAGAAAAUACAUAUUAAAAUGUUUAAAAUAUUUUAAAUAAUUUUAAAUUUUACAUUUUGUUUGUUUGUUCUUGUUCACACAGCACAGAUGUGGUUUCUAUGCAGGACUAAAAUAGUUUUGUUCUCGUUUGUUUUUCUGUGGUUCUGUGGGUUUCACCAAAGUGUCAGAUGGGAAAUUUAUCUCUUCCAAUUUGGUUGUGGCUAACCAGUGUAUGCCUCUGUUUAACACAGAAAACAAUCCAACAGAAUAAACAUUAAUCUACAACACCAGCAGCUUUUUAGUGAAGCUGAACAGAAAAGCUUUAUUACUGACUGUAUGAAGAGUUUUAAUUUAUUUAUUUCCUUAAAGAGCUGGAAACCAACCAACAGAUGCAGGGAUGGAAAAUUGUUUCAUUUUUAUUAAUUGUUUAAUAAGAAAAUUCUGCAUUAGCAACUUUAAAAUGGGAAUAUUUACCUUUUUGUUGUUGUUGUUGUUUUAAUGAUUUGAAACUUCUAAUUUGUUUGUGUGCU